rnacentral:lncRNA from 1 species
ACCACUUUUACCAAAAUUUUUUAUAGUUCUGUCAUUUUUGGUUCAUAGUCAAAGUCUAUUUAUACAGUCCUUACAUUGAUUUAUUCAACUUUCUGAUUGUGGUGUGUCUUGACUUCUUUUAAACUGGUUAUCAAAAGUAGAUAAAUUUUUAGGACUUUAAUUGUGAAAAAGAAAUUGUUACAGUAUUUUCGAAGCCAGCAUUUCCUUAGGUGCUUAGGAAUAAAACAAAACAAACCCCACAUUGCUUGGUAUCCUAUCACUGAGUAAAUGAUCCUGGAGUUAUUCACACCUAGUUAGCAAAUGCUCUCAUUGAAUUGAUACUUUUUCUGUGUUUUCUUUUCCUAGGUUAUCUGUCAUUUCUGUCUUCAGUGUCCCACCUCUCCCUUGCGUCAGAACUGAGAAUAAAGAAAAAAUAAAGAGAAUGCUGAUGAGUCUGUUUUCCUAACAAAGAGAAAAUGACAAUGUGCUAAACUCUAAAGACUCUUUUAAUUAGCCCAAGAGUCACUCCUACUGCUUCAUCGUGUCUACUACCUAGAGAAGUCACUCUGUGGGUUCAACAAGAAAGUUCAAGACAUGAUUAGAUCAGCAAUAGUGCCGUUGUCUUGAUGAAUCAACAGGCAGAUGUGUUUGAUUGAGUUAGCCUUUCGGUUAACUUCAUCUGGUUCAGAUGAUCUGAAGCAUUUCCAUCACUAAUUCCCUAACUGCAUAGUGGACAUAAUGAGGAGACUGGUUGGUUGUCCCAUGGGCAGUGUCAUAUAAUCAAUCUCAAGCCUACAAUGGUAAUGCCAAGAACAAUUCAGUAUAGGGACUGAAGAUUCUGGACUUUAAAGAAUAUCCUUUCUUUCUAUAUUAUAUUAAUGUUUAAUUUGAAACAAUGAGUUUCAAGCAUCUGUGAAUAAAAAUUGACACAUAUGAAAACAUCUGGCUUCUCUUAUGUUUUUCUGAUUGUUUAUAAAU